GCUCCUUUCUGACAGGAGGUUUACAGAUCAAUGGGAGGAAACAAUCUGCUUUUAAGAAUAUCCUCCAACUGAAGAGUUAGCUUGAACAUUACAGGCUCCAAGCUGAGGAUGUUCCAAACAUACAUAAAAGAACAUGAGCACAGAAGAUUAUUUUAACAGGUCAGUAAGAACAAGCUUGGUCAAAAAAACCAACCUCCAAAUAAAAUGGGGGAAAAAAAAAGACACCCCAAACCCGGAUUAGCCUCAUUUCAUAAAGACAUCUACCUUGGCACUGUGAAAGAAUAUAGAUUCACUUUCAGAAAAAUAGUUUCUAAUUAAUAACUUCAGAGUCCAAAAGGCUAGUAUACAUGUUAUGAGAUUUUUAAAUAAAAAUCCAAUAUUGUUCAGAAAACAGAGCACUUUGCAACCAACUGCUGUGGUUCAAGCAGCUCAUAAAAAAAAAAAACCAACAAAACAAAACCCACAAUCACUCUAUCAAACAAACAGCAGCAAAAAAAUAAGAAAAUUUCUGAGGAAAAGUACAAAAAAAAAGACAGAAAGUAGACAGUCAAGGGCACAGGAGCUCUUCAGACCGCCCACUGCAUUUGAAAAAUACCUUAGCAAGUAGCAACAUGAAACAUGCAAUGUCUCUGCUAACUUGCUCCUGAUUCAGCAGCCUGUUUAGCAAUACCUACAACAUUUCCAUAACCAAAGGAUGGAUGCAAUUUUGUUUUCCGACUUGCCAAUUUGACAUAUGCAAAAGCUAUAGGACUUUACAAUUUCUGCCUGAAUCUGUAAACUUGGAAGUGUCUCAC
rnacentral:lncRNA from 10 species